UCAUGUCCUACUUUUGAGGUUUCUCAUAGCAAAAAUCACUCUUUUUAUCGCACAAAACUCAUCCCUUCUUAAGGGUGGCGUCCCAUGAAAUAUGAGGAUAAGAAUUAGAUAGUUUUGGUUCAAGUUCAAACAUUGGUUGAUCCCUAUCACCAAUUCAAAUCAAAUUUGAAUUGAACAUUGAACCAAAUUUUAUCCUGUUGCCAAGAAAUAGAGCCCA
rnacentral:lncRNA from 1 species